CCGAUCUGAUUCUCAUUUUUGUCGGUGUCUGUGAGCAAGAGUUCUUUGUCCGGAAGCUUCAACCCCUCCGUUCCGCAACCCUUGUCCACCAAUUUCCUUUGUCUAUCACCAUUACUAGUGAUGUUAGGUGCACAGAAGAUCCUCGCCUUUGCUCUGUCUUCCACAUCUGCUCCUCUGUUCGUUCCUCUAUUGUGGGUGUAAUCAUCAGAGUUCCUUUUUUGUGGGAACCUGCAAACAAUUCUGGGCGUUCCUCCUUCGAGUGCAGCAGCGUCAUCGAAAAAUCUUCUCUCCUCAGCUCUGCCGUCGUCGACUAUAGGAUGGGUGGAGAUCAUCUCCUUAUCUCUUCCGUGUUUGACUUUCAACUCUUGUUUUUUCAUCACUAAUUUGGAUUGAAUAGUAGAAUGGCAAGUCAGGAUGAAACGUGUGAGCACUUAUGAAAAUAGCCUCACUGUACUAUGUGCCACAUGCAUCACGGCGUAUGGCACAUAAUUUACUUAAAGCUGAUAUGCAUCAACUUGAGAAUCAGAAGGAAAAAGAAGAGAAAGCAUGAAGGGAAGGUUUCUCUGCUAGGGUAAUAGUUUUCAAAAGUUUAGAAUUUUACUUCAACUAGUAACUUGUCAGAUUUAGUCUUUGAGAGUUGCUUGUGGGAAUCUACACCCAUGGGAGUUAACUGCCUGCAUGGUAACCCUUGAUAGUGAGGGUAAAAGGUGAAAAGAGGAUGAGAAGGCUAGGAAAGGAAAUGAGGAAAUAGUAACUUAUAAUGGUAGAGGUAUAACCACUUUUGUGGAAUGAGUGUAUAAUUAUGUUGUUAAAGAUUUGAAUUGUCAACUAGGAUACAUAAGUGUAUAUAAAUGAAUAUAUGUGAUUAUGCUGUGAGAACUUGCUUGUAUCUCUGUAUUGCAUCUCACUGAGUGUACCACAAUGGUGGAUACGUGGGUAGGCCAAGAUGCUAGUCAAGCAAGUGUAUGUUAUUAUAUAACUUGUUCUACUAGUAUUGGUUAUGAAAUUGUUGUGAUGAAAUGUGCAUAUAUGUGGGACUUGACCAAAUGUUAAGGCUUUACCCCAUUUGUAUGAGUCAAGUGUAUUUGUAAUUUCCGACUAUAUAGUAAGGCUUAGUCCCAUAUGUGAGAGUCAGAUGAUUAAAAGUGAACAAGUGUAUGUACGUAUGUGUUUUGUGUCUCAUAUAAGUCCACAAGUGUGUAAUGUGACAUUGAGAGGUAAAGAUAAGUAUUUAUUGUGAUAUACAUGAUUUGAUAUGUUAAUCAGGUAUAUAUUGUCAUUUUAGACUUAGUUCAAGGACCAUAGCGAUCUAAUAGGAUAAGGAAUGAGAAUUGAGAACCUAGGAUGCUAGUUUUAAAAAAUGACUUUUUACAUUUGAAUGUCCAAUUGUAGAUCGGACCGUUGAAUUGUGUCCAAACUUAUCUCAUUAGAUAGAAUAUGUUGAAACUUUCGUGUGGGCGUUUGAAUCACUCCAAUCAAACAUCGGAUGUAGAAUCGAUGCAAGAUGAAAAUUUGCUUUUGUGAAUUGUCAUUUGACAAUAAAAUUCUAUCAUGUACACCGUGGCAUGACACAAAGAAGGGAGCCUAUGACUUUAUACUACAUGUGGCAGUGUAUUGUGGUACAGGUCGUAGCACACGGCCUUGUUUGAGAUAAAUAAUUGUGUAUUUUAAUUGUUGGUAGGCUAUAAGUUAUGCUUUUGUUAGCCCUAUUAUUUGAACUUAUUUUUUUAAAAAUUCGAGAUCUCCCAUUUUAAAAAUAAAUUAAGGGCUAUAAGUCUUAUACUUGUGUUGUAAUGUGUGUAUGGAUUAGUAAAGUCUAGAUUAUAUAAAAGACUUUACAAAAAACACCCUUGUAGGACAUGGAUGUUGAAAGGUACACCAAGAAAUCCUUAGAAUGUGAGAAGGUAUAGACCAUCAGGGAAAAAGUAUGAGUAAGGCAGGAGUAGCAGGUUCUACAAGAAAGAGGAAAAGUUAAACUUGUCUUCUCGCUAUCAGGCUUUAGAUGAGCUAGAAGGUGAUGUUGGCAUGUCAAAAGAAAAUCAAGAAAGUGGAGAAGGGAAGCAGGUAAUUUUGGUUGAGAAAGGAGAAGAGUCUACCCUAUUUAAUGCUAAGGAGGCUAAAAAGACAAAAAGUGUAGGGGGUCAAUCCUGAAGCAGUGGGGGAAGAAAGAAAGGACAAGAUAAGUCAAAGCAAAUAUCAAAGACAAUAAGGAAAGAAAAUUUGAAACCAAGUGGGUCAGGUAUAAAUGGCCCAAACCAAAAAUUGACUAGGCCUAUUUUUAAUGGUCAGAACCAAAAACUGGUGUGAUGAAAAACGACUUGGGUAAUAAGCCCAAUAUCCAACGGAUCUAACAAGAAAUUGGGCUAGAGAACCCAUUCUAUUGUAAUUGGUCAUAUUGACCAAUUGAAAUCCUCACACAAUAGCCCAUCAAUUAUUAUGCCAAAUUAUCCCCCUGAGGCUGAUAUGCUAAUAGAUGACACAUAAGGCUCACCUCUAGGCUCACCUUUAGAUAUGCAAAUAAAUGACAUAUAUGGAAACACUAAUGGAGAAGAAACCCCUUGACUCGCAAGGUUUGAUGACUGCGCACAACUUCUUGGAUAAUUCUGGGCAAGAUUUUUUAGCUAUGGUGCGAAGUGUUUCAUGCAUUUUGAAUCAACGAGUUAUGCCAAAAUACAAUGUCUUUGCUGAAGUCUGUUCUAGAGGAGUUUGUUAAUGAUCCUCUCAACUAAUUCGGGUUUAUCCCUUUCUUUGUCCUAGUUUUUAAUGAUUGUUGCUUCUUGGAAUUGUCGCGGUGCUAGUAGUAAGGAUUUUACAGGCAUCAUUAAAAACUAGCUCUCUUUUUAUAAUAUUGAUGUCUUAUGUCUCAUUGAGCCUUGGAUUAGCAGGGACAAAUCUGAUAGGGUGAUUAAAUAGUUUAGUUUCAGUCACUGGCUUUGUGUUGAAGCAAUUGGUUUUGCUGGAGGGAUUUAGGUUCUUGGGAAUGAUAGGGAUAUUAAGGUUGACUAUAUAUGCUCCAAUACCCAAGUUUUCCAUUGCAAAUUAUUUGAUAUUAGGUCAGGUAAGUGUUUAGUUUCUACUUUUGUUUAUGGGGAGACUUGUAUUUUAAAAAGAAAGUUAUUGUGGGACUCCCUAAAAGCCAUUGCUGAAUUCACGGAUGAAGCUUGGUUAGUUAUUGGUGAUUUUAAUACUUUUUUGGAUUUCUUGAAUAAGAGUGGAGGGUUACUACCUUCUAUUCAGGCUAUGAAUAAUUUCUACAACUACAUUAAUGAAGUUGAACUUAUUGAAAUUCCAGUUGUGGGAGAUAAAUUUAUUUGGAAAAGAAAAGAUCUCAAGGAAAGGUUAGAUUGGUCUUUUUGCAAUGCUCUUUAGCAAGAAAGUCACCCGCAUGCCAAAGUUUUCCAUUGCUUGAAAUUCAGCUUUGAUAAUUGCAUUUUAGUUGUUGCUAAUGAAAAUCCUUCUAGGAACAAUUGGAGUGUCAACAAGCAUUUUUUCUAUCAAACAGCUUGAACAUUGGAAAAUGGUCUUCCCGAACUUGUCCAAGACACUUAGAAUAAUCGAAGUUGGAUUGAGGGUGCACAAAGUUUUAGUAAAGCUACUAAAAUUUAGAGUAAUAAUAAUAUUGGUAGCAUUCCUAAAAAGAGGAGAGAAAUUUUUAACAAGCUUAGGAGCACUGAUAGGAAUAGAAGUGAAUUUGAUCAUGAUGGUUUAUUUCGAUUGGAAAGAAGAUUAUGGAAAGAAUACCAAAAACUUUAUGGUCAAGAGGAGAUGAUUUGGUUUCAAAAAUUAAGGUGUAAAUGGCUUCAAUAGGGGGAUAGGAACACAAGGUACUUUCAUACUACUACAAGAAUAAGAAGAAGGAAAAGCAACAUUAUUGCCCUUCAAAAUAAUAUAGGUGAAUGGAUCAUGAUAUUCCUACGCUAAAAAGCAUGGCUUGUGACUAUUUCAAGAAUCUCUAUUAUAAUAAUUCUAAUAUUCUGAGCUUCACUGAUUGGCCUCAAGAUUUCCCUGUUCUUCAUUCUUAUUAGUUGAAUCAUAUCUGUGAACAUUGUAUUUUAUCCGGGUAUUCUUUUUAAAUUUAAUAAUAAAUAAUCAAAAAAUAUAAAAAAAUAUAAAAAUGAAAUUUAAUCCUUUUUUAGGAUUAUAUUUUCAAAAAAAAUCUUGCUUAAAUUUUUUAAAAAUCUCUCUCAAAUUAUUUCAACCAUUCAAAAAAUAUUGAGUGUCAACUUUUGAGAGUUAACUUUUUCUCUCCUUAAAUCUUGUUUUUCAUUAAAAUUAAAAAAAUAUAUCUUUAAUUUAAUUUCAAAAAUAGACAUUAAUUAAAAAAAAUGAUAAAAGGCUGUGGUUAAACGCACAGCAUUUCACCACAGCUAAGAGCAGACCUUUUCGGCGCUGAUCAGGGAGGAAAGAAAACAGAAACACGAGCAGAGAACGCCAGAAGCACACACAAUCAUGAAAUGGAGAAAGGAAAAAGCAAAGAGCAAAGAGCAAUGCCAGAUGAAAACACAGACUACAGAAAAGCUUCAUAGAGAGAACAUGUGAACAUGCAACAAAAUAAGAGAGAGAUGCAGAGCAAGCAACCAUAGCCCUAAAACUUUGGCCAUGCAGUAAAAAAAGAGAGCAGAGAGAAGGCAAAAGAAAAGACUAGACAUGCACACAGACUGCAAGCGAAACACAGACAGAAAGAGAGCAAUAGAUGAUAACAGAAGACCAGGCGUACACGUUGAAGCAAGCACACACAUGCACGGAAAACACGCUAGAAAAACAGAGCACGGAUGAAAUGCAGAAAAAGGGAACGAGAGCACAAAUGAAAGAUAGAAGAGAGAGACCGAGAGUGAGGAAGGAUGGGAGACAAGAAUAAAAACUGGAAGAGAAGAAAAAAAGGGAGAGAGUAGUGACCGAACGUAGGAAAGGGGAGAAGCUUGAAUAGAGGUGAAGAAGAAAAGAGAGUGAGGAUGAGAAACUGGAAGGAAAACAAAGACAGGAUGAUGAGAAACUGGAAGCAAAAUAGAGACAGAGAGAGGGAUCAAAAGAAGCAAAAACACGAUGACAGGGAAGAGAGGACUGAAGAAUGCAAAAUAGAGGAUGUCAUGGCUAAAGAAAAGGAGAGUGACAGGGAAGAGCGGACUGAAGGUAGAAAACAGAGACAAGAGAGGAGGUGACGGAGUAGCUUUUUUCUAGAAAAGCUGGGAAGGAGAAGAGAGAGACCGAAGGAGUUAAAAAAAAUAGAGGUUGAGAGAGGAAGAAACAGAGACGAAGAGAGGAGAAACGGACUUAGCCGAGAAACCAGCACCGGAGAGUUUUUUGAAAAGAAAAAAAGAAGAAAAAACUGAAAAAGGAAGAGAAAAAAAUCGAGAACAGAACACAAAGGAAACGCAGAAGGAAGAGCGAGAAAGGACUGUGGGAGAAGAAAAAACUGGAGCACAAGAAAUAAAGCAUCGAGAAGAGGAGGAAAGAAAGAACACGAGGAGAGAGAGGAAGCAACACAGAAAAAGAGAGGGGACCGGGAGAAGAGAAGAGAGAAAACCAGACGGAGAAAUAAUGGAAACUGGACAGCACCUACUGAUCAUUUUUUUACAUGCUCUCACUUCUAGCUUCCGAGUUCCAACUGAGUUGAUGACUCAUUCUCAUGCAAAAUUUGGUCAUCACAGUGCUAUUCUGCUCUUCUUUCUCUUCAAAAUCUGCAAAUGGAAGUUCAUCACAGAUCACUUCUUUCAGUUGAAGAGGAGGAAUGGAACUUUGCUUUGUGGCUUUCUUACAUUCUCACUGGUGUUGGAUCAAACUUUAUUUCGUGAUUUCAUGAGGUUAGAGAAAGAUUCUUGAAAUGCUUACAUUGGGGUAGUUCGUGAUAGAGAAGGUUAUGGAAGCGGCUCAAGCUUCAAUUGCAUUAUCAGGUACCUUCCGUGGAGGCUACUUAAUGCAAUGUCAGAGCUAUAACAGCAUGUUCUUCCUCCUCUGCUUCUCAUCAUAUUCUCUUUCCUCCUCCAUGGUCUCCAAUUCUCGCCAGCGUAUGUGUGUGAGAAAGCCUCGUCUGCCACUCGAAGAGGUUCAAGUCGUGGUUUUCUCCUCCUCCAUGGCCACGUAACUGAAGCUUCCUCUUUUAUUUCUCAUGGAUGCACUUGGAGACCGACAGUAAGCUGCCGACCUUAACCAUCGUAUCUUCUUUGAUCUUCUUCUCCGUGCGUCUUGGGUCAUCGUGAAAGUGCUGGAGCUUCCGUCUUUUGUUUUCCUCUAUUUAGGCAAGCUGUAAGAGUGCGCUAGAAUUUCCUUCCUCUGUUGUGCUAUAGUCGAUCGUUGCUGGGCAGGGAUGAAGUCAUCUCUUUCUUACUAUUGACGUCGAAAACUAUGGUGACUGAAAUCCUUCCCUUCGUGGCUCAUCUUCACCCACUUCUCCUCUGUGGUGCGUUGCUAUAGGGUUGCUGUCAUUGGUUGUCUCCUCUGUUCUUGCCAUGGUAUGGGUUGCAUCGGACCUUCUUUAUUUUCUCCUCCUCUGUUCAUAUUGUUGCUGAUAAAUUUACUUCCUUUGGUGGUACUGCUGUGCGUGUGCAUGAUUCAAUUUUGUUGAAGUUUCAAUUUCUUUUCUUGUGUUUUGUUGUUGUCAUGAUUGUUUAAGAAGGAGAAGAUUUUAAAUUAACCUAAAAAUGCAUAUUGAAGCUUGGUAAAGAUAUAUUUGGGUUAGAAUUUUUGAGCUGGAUUGAUUUUUGUUUAAAUUGAUAUUGAAGGCUUGGUUAGGAUGAAGUUGGAAGAGAAAAACCAAAAAAUGAAACUUGAAGAAUGAUGUCUAUAAGAUGUUUGCUAAAGUGCUUGGUAGAGAGAGUGUUUGAUUGUGCAUUUCCUAAAAUCUCAUUAAACUUUUUGGGAGACAGGUUUGGAUGAUAUUAUUUAGUGAAUUGAGCUUGGUAUUGUGUAAAAAUUUUUUAUUAUGAAAGUGGUGCCUAGCUAGUUAAAUUCUUUAGAGUUAUGCAGUUAUUGAAAAAUUGUUGAGCAAUUUAUUGUGAGAUUUGAAAAUAAUGUAUAUUCAGUGUCUAGAUAAAAAGUUUAGUAGGAGAUUGUAUCAUAAUGGAAUAUUGAGUUAUGACCUUUGAGGGAUUUUCAUGUGUAAAGUCUUGAUUUUAAAAUUUCAAGUUAUUAUAAAGUUGAAUCUUGGUAGUAAAAUAUUGGAAGUAAAUUAUCAAAUUUACUGAAAGUUUAUUAAAUAUUUUAUAUAAAUUAUAAGGUUUUUGGAAGAGUAAACAUUUAAUUGAAGUUGAGAGGUGAAUUUUUAAAUUUUGAAAAGUAUUUCAGGUAAGUGGAUAGCGUCCUAACUGAUAUUUUAAUAAAAUUUCUUUAUUAAAAUAUUACAUUUUUAUGCAAAUUUUUUUUGCAACAACGAUGUGAUUAUUAUAUAUUUUGUUGAUUAAAUUAUUUGAUUUUGUGGAAUUAAUUUAUCAAAUUUGAUAAUUUUAGUUAAUCAGUAAAUACAAGUUUGAAUUCUAAUUAUGAAAUUUCAUUCUGAAAGUUAUUGAAUUGCUACAAAAAACAAUUCAUGCAAGUCUGACGUUGAAAAUAAAAAUUUUAUUCUAAUAGUGAAUAUUUUCUCGCAUGUUUGAAAUGGAAUUUAAAAAAAAAAGGGAACUUUAUACAGAACGUUGGUUGCUAAUGAUAGUUUUGUUAGCCUUUAGUGCACCAUGGUUCACCUAGCUAGCAGGUGUUUAUAGGAGGUGCUAGCUUCGUGCAAUAGCCAAUGCAUGUGAAACGGGGGGAUGAUUAUUUCUGAGCAUUAUACUCACGUUUGUUUCGUGGCUUCAGCUGUGUUUGGUUUCUUACCCUCAUGAACUGUGUGUCUACAUUUGUUUUUGUGGCAAGAGCCGCAUCUAAUUAUUUACCUUCGUGGACUGUGUGUCCAUGUUUGUUAAUUGUUCUGAUAAGUCUUUAUAAUCAUAAAUUAGAUUAUUUUGUGAUUUUACAUCUCAUUGGUUUUUAUUUAGUAAUUUAUAUAUAAUCACUUAUUUUGUUUAUUUGUUUUUAUGAAAUCACGUGACAAUAAUAUUUGAUCUGAUAAUUUAAUGGUCCAAAAUUUUAUUUAAAAUUUUAUAUAGAGCUAUUUUAUUCUAAAGUUUGCUAAAAUUUUUAUGAAAAUCAUGGUCCCCAACUUACACAAAUGUUUCAAACUUUUCUUUUAUUCAUGUUCAAUUGUUUAUUUGUUGGAACGUUAUUCACUGAAGAUAUUUUUGGUCCCAGAUAGCAUAGUUGAUGAUCUACCUCUUAUUGAUCUCUAAGGGGCUCAUUGUUGAACUAAAGAGAAAGCCUUUUGAGGGUACUUUCCUUUUGACGUAAAUGUUUAACUAUGUGCUAUACUUUAAAAUUUUGAUUAGAUGCUCCACAUUAACUAUAAAUAAGAUUUUAAUAUGUCAUUUAUUUGUCUGUUUGUGGUGGAGGAGCAGAGCUCCGCAUUUUUGAUUUGGAUCGCGCAUUGAUGUUGUAAAGAUUUUGGGAAGUCUUGUUUACAGUGGAAGUUUUGUCAAAAUUUUUACAAGAAAAUUUAAGAAUCUUUCAUUUAUAUAAAAAAAAUGUUAUAAUGAUUUAACAUCCUAUUUUAAUUGAAUUAAAAUAUUAGAGUAAAGUUUUCCUAAUCAAGGCUCAAGGGAUGUAUAUUUGUGCAUAUAUCCCAUGCCAAUCACAUCUCAAUUUUAGGGUGUGACAAGUUGACAUGGAAGAAGCUUAUAAUCAACUUGAUUGUAGCCUAAUUGAAAGAACCUUGUUAGACAUUGGUCUCGGAUAGGCUUUUGUGAGUGUCAUAAUGUCUUGUGUUUCCCUUGCUUUGAUGAAAGUCUUAUGGAAUGGUGAGGAGACUCAAGAAUUUUACCCUUCAAGAGGACUUAGGCAAGGAGAACCACUAAGUUCCUACUUGUUUAUCCUUUGCAUGAGAUGUCUAAGGCAUUUGAUUCAAAGAGAGGUGAGACUGAAGAAGUAGAAACCAAUAAAAAUUAGUGCUCACGAACCUCAAGUUUAACACUUGUUCUUUGCAAAUGAUUUGUUUCUUUUUGUUGAAGCUUCCCAGAGGCAAAUGGAGGUUAUUUGUGAUCCUAUGACUAAGUUUUGUAAUGGGUCAGGUCAUAGGAUUAAUCUCUCAAAGUCGAAAGCUUUCUUUUCUAGAUAUGUCAAUUUCCAUCAUGAGAAGGAGUUCAGUGACUGCUUGGGCAUAGGUGUCUCUACAGACUUAGGGAAAUAUCUUGGGGUUCCGCUCAUACAUCAACGAACUACAAAGAGAACUUAUCACCCCAUUUUGCAGAAGGUUCGUAGCAAGCUUUCAUUAUGGAAAGGUAUGGCUAAGGAGAAAUAUUCAGAGUAACUUUAGCUCUGAAACAAGAAACAACUAGGAAUGGCUGGCGUUACUAGUCUCUGUGGAAAAAUAGAUGCAAAGGGAUAAUAGAAGGGAAAUGACUUGAAGCUGUGGAGAUCCUGCACAAGACUAAAAUGCAAGUAGUUAAAAUAGUGGAGAAUGGAAUAUUCAAGCACAAGGUCUUUCAAAGGUGGACACAAGGGAAAAAAGAUGGAGUUCACUAUCAGAGAGCUAUCUUCACUUAGAUGUUGACAAUUCGAUGAAUUGUCAAGGGUUUGCAACGUGAGGGAGCCUUUUGAUAUGCGCGAGGUAAUUAGAUUUUGGGUUUUCAUAGUAAACUUGGGUAUAUUCCGUCCACUAUGGCCAAGCUAUCCACAUUACAUUUAGGUCUUAUACUUGUUAAGCAAUAUCACAUGAAGAAAAUUCAGUGUCACUUUGACUUGCUGGAAGCUACCCACUUACUGCAGACUAGUAGGGGCUUGAAUCAUCCUUUAUGUUCAAAUAUUACUAGGACACAAAAAUUGAUUUUCUCAGUUAGCGAAGUGGAAAUUUUCUAUUCCAAUCAUGAGAAUAUAAAAGUAGUUGACUGCCUGGAUAAGGAUGUGCAUAAAAUUAAGGUUUAAGGUGCAAUUUUUCCUUAAACUAUUUUCAAAGGAGCAAUGUUGCCUCCUAAACUAUUCAUCAUAGCAAUAUUACCCCUAAACUAAUCAAAUCGAAGUAAUGUUACCCCCAUCA